CUUUGAAAUUAUGGUACACUGUCAUACCUCAGCAUCUGAUUUUAACGAGUCUCCGCUUUGGCAUUAGCAGUGCAGUCAACUUUUAUUGUUGUUGGCACGAGUUGUGUGAGCCCUUCUUUCGUACAAAAUCUAUUUACGCUCUUGUAAUACUGUAAUAACUGCAGCCAGCAUUUCCACACACAAUUAAAUCUUAAAAUAUACAUUGACCUGAUACAAGCACUGAAUUUAGUAAAACAUGCAUACAACAAACAAAAAUAAAUAAAUAAAUAAAUAAAAAUAAUAAUUGCUGUGAACUUUGAAAUAGAGAGACUAGCCAGAAACCACUUCACAGCACAUGGUUUCCACCUAAACAAAAGUGGCAAGGAAAUUAUCUGCAAUAGACUGGCCUUCCUGACAACUAUGGGAGACAAUAAGAAUCCAAAAGUCAGAAACCAUAAACAGAUGCUUAUAAGCAAUUGGAUCAAGCCAAACAACUUUUGAAAUAAAAAGAGUAAUAGUGGCCAUGCAAUGCAAACUACACUAGACAAAUGGGCCACGAAGUCACAGAGACGAAACACAAACCCUCUGACCACGCAGAAAAGUCAGGAACCUGAAAGAAUCAAUAAUGUGAUGGUGAACAGUAUCGAGACAGCCCUCCAAAAUGACAGUGUGAUGCCUGAGCAAUGUGACGUGCAUGUGGAUAGUUUCCAGGACCACCUUUUUAAGAUGAGUCGGCUGCCAAGGACGACCAACAGAGCCAGCACAACUGCUCGGAAGUCAACAUAUUUGGAAUACAGCACAAUUUAUACUAAAGUGAUAUCCCACUGCAUUUGGGCAAGAAAAUGGCAAGGUGUUCAACUGUUACAUAUCAGCAGUUGUUGAGGGCAUUACCCAGCUGCAUUCCGAGGAGAACCACUUCCAAGGGAACUGAUAGCAGGUUCAUUUCCUUGCUAACUGCCACUUGGAUCUAUUCAAGGUCAGGAGAACUUGGAGAGAAAAUGUGAAAAACCUCAUUAAAACUAUGAAAUUGCUUGUGAAAAAUAUUAAACAGUGAGCAAGUGAACUGCAGUGCACAGUGAAAUUUAGUUUUUGUGAUCCAUGAGGAUUUAUUUUGUUUAAGUGAGACAGGACUUGUAUAAACUGAUACGGAUCUUAAAAUGGAAUCUUUGUUUACCCAAAAAGGACAUCACUAAUAAUAAAGAUGCCUAAAUUUUAUUAAAUGUAUAGCUUAUAGAUAUUUUCUGAUAUUGUGAAAUACACUGUAUGUAAAUAUUUUGUAUGGGGAUUUUCAUAUGGAUAGUUCAUAUAAGUAUAAAUUUGAAAAAAUAUAUGUACUUUAGUUUGGUAAGAUUUCAUAUGUAUUUUUUGGUGUGUAGAUUGUUAAACCGAAUUUCUAGCAUCACUUGUGGUCAUGGAAUUGCCCAGUUAGGUAUUUGCAGUAUCUAUCUGGCCAGUCCAAUGAAGGGGUGAUGCGACAAAUCGAGCUGAGGUAUUUGUACUUCCCGUCUUGUUUUGCCAUCUACCUAGUUAAAUUUGUUUUUUCAGUUUUAACUAAUUAUCAUUAACAUACAUGAAUAUAAUCUGCAUUUCCAUAAAAGAGAAAGGUUGGCCCUCAGUUUUAAAGAAUAUAACACCAGAGCUAAUUUUGUGCUUAGAUUUAGGUAUGUAAUUGAUUUUCUAAUUUAUUUCGAUUAUGCCUAGUUAGUUGGUUGGUUGGUUGGUUUGGGGAAGGAGACCAGACAGCGUGGUCAUCGGUCUCACCAGAUUAGGGAAGGAUUGGGAAGGAAGUCGGCCGUGCCCUUUCAGAGGAACCAUCCCGGCAUUUGCCUGGAGUGAUUUAGGGAAAUCACGGAAAACCUAAAUCAGGAUGGCCGGACGCGGGAUUGAACCGUCGUCCUCCCGAAUGCGAGUCCAGUGGCCUAGUUAGUAUCUUGUGUUACAGGGUGAAAU